rnacentral:rRNA from 1 species
UGGGGAAUUUUGGACAAUGGGCGAAAGCCUGAUCCAGCAAUGCCGCGUGUGUGAAGAAGGCCUUCGGGUUGUAAAGCACUUUUGUCCGGAAAGAAAUCCUUGGCUCUAAUACAGUCGGGGGAUGACGGUACCGGAAGAAUAAGCACCGGCUAACUACGUGCCAGCAGCCGCGGUAAUACGUAGGGUGCAAGCGUUAAUCGGAAUUACUGGGCGUAAAGCGUGCGCAGGCGGUUUGCUAAGACCGAUGUGAAAUCCCCGGGCUCAACCUGGGAACUGCAUUGGUGACUGGCAGGCUAGAGUAUGGCAGAGGGGGGUAGAAUUCCACGUGUAGCAGUGAAAUGCGUAGAGAUGUGGAGGAAUACCGAUGGCGAAGGCAGCCCCCUGGGCCAAUACUGACGCUCAUGCACGAAAGCGUGGGGAGCAAACAGGAUUAAAUACCCUGGUAGUCCACGCCCUAAACGAUGUCAACUAGUUGUUGGGGAUUCAUUUUCCUUAGUAACGUAGCUAACGCGUGAAGUUGACCGCCUGGGGGAGUACGGUCGCAAAGAUU